GGGCCCAUAGUAAAGUGGCAUUACGCAUCCAUGGCAUGGAUGAGAUCGGGGUUCGAUUCCCCGUGGGUCCA
rnacentral:tRNA from 1 species